rnacentral:rRNA from 1 species
UACGGAGGGAGCUAGCGUUGUUCGGAAUUACUGGGCGUAAAGCGCACGUAGGCGGCUUUGUAAGUUAGAGGUGAAAGCCUGGAGCUCAACUCCAGAACUGCCUUUAAAACUGCAUCGCUUGAAUCCAGGAGAGGUGAGUGGAAUUCCGAGUGUAGAGGUGAAAUUCGUAGAUAUUCGGAAGAACACCAGUGGCGAAGGCGGCUACACGUGGAG